GUUAAGCGACUAAGCGUACACGGUGGAUGCCCUGGCAGUCAGAGGCGAUGAAGGACGUGCUAAUCUGCGAUAAGCGUCGGUGAGGUGAUAUGAACCGUUAUAACCGGCGAUUUCCGAAUGGGGAAACCCAGUGUGUUUCGACACACUAUCAUUAACUGAAUCCAUAGGUUAAUGAGGCGAACCGGGGGAACUGAAACAUCUAAGUACCCCGAGGAAAAGAAAUCAACCGAGAUUCCCCCAGUAGCGGCGAGCGAACGGGGAGGAGCCCAGAGCCUGAAUCAGUGUGUGUGUUAGUGGAAGCGUCUGGAAAGGCGCGCGAUACAGGGUGACAG
rnacentral:rRNA from 1 species